CCCUUAGAUGUUCUGGGCUGCACGCGCGCUACACUGAAGCGUUCAACGAGUAUUCACCUUGCCCGGGAGGGUUGGGUAAUCUUUUGAAAACGCUUCGUGAUGGGGAUAGAUUAUUGCAAUUAUUAAUCUUCAACGAGGAAUGCCUAGUAAGCGUGAUUCAUCAAAUCGCGUUGAUUACGUCCCUGCCCUUUGUACACACCGCCCGUCGCUCCUACCGAUUGAGUGUGUUGGUGAGGAGUUCGGAUUGGCAGCAGGUGGUGGUUCGCCACCGCCUAUUGCUGAGAAGUUCUCCAAACCGCCCCACUUAGAGGAAGGAGAAGUCGUAACA
rnacentral:rRNA from 1 species